ensembl:snRNA U1 U1 spliceosomal RNA
AUACUUACCUGGCAGGGGAAACACCAUGCUCAUGAAGGUGGUUUUCCCAGGGUGAGGCUCACCCAUUGCACUGCGGGUGUACUGACCUCUGCGAUUUCCCCAAAUGAAGGAAACUCGGCUGCAUAGUUUGUGGUAGUGAGGGACUGCAUUCACGCUCUCCCCUG